CAAAGGUAACCAGUUACAUAGGCAUCCGACCCCGAGCGAGCUUCAGCAAACAAAAAUGACGCACUCCAUCUUUCCUGCCAAUUCGAGAUUCCAGCGCAAGGCGCUUCAAUGGUCAGCUAAUAACUUGGCCAUUUUGCGACAAUUGAUGGUACAACCUGAGGUGGUUAUCGGUGGUUGUUCGAGGUGGUUCGCGAUUGUUG